rnacentral:rRNA from 1 species
UACGUAGGGUGCGAGCGUUGUCCGGAAUUAUUGGGCGUAAAGAGCUUGUAGGCGGUUUGUCGCGUCUGCCGUGAAAGCCCGGGGCUUAACCCUGGGUCUGCGGUGGGUACGGGCAGGCUAGAGUGUGGUAGGGGAGACUGGAAUUCCUGGUGUAGCGGUGAAAUGCGCAGAUAUCAGGAGGAACACCGAUGGCGAAGGCAGGUCUCUGGGCCACUACUGACGCUGAGAAGCGAAAGCAUGGGGAGCGAACAGG